rnacentral:lncRNA from 1 species
CCUAACCCAUCCUAAAUCUAAGGGUUACCUGAAAGUAAACAGACAAAUCGAGAGUGAGCUUACAAGCUCAGUGUGCAAGUAAUUAAUUUUUUGGCACACGGCCCAAUUAACCUAGACCUUGUGUCUCACAUGGUCCAGCACACGACCUGGCACAUGGCCAUGUGACGUCGACAAUUCAGAUUUUUGACAAUUCAGAAGGGACGCACAAAACGAUAAAACAA